AGCAGAAUAAAAAGGAGCUGACGAUGUUAUCUACCAAGUACGAACAAGCUUUCGCCUUUCACCAUAUCGAUCAAACAAAUGACUCACUCCUGCUCGUGAGUUUGAGGCAAUAAUAGAGAUUUUCUUUUUGUCAACGGGGGACGCCAACUUGCCACUUCUUUAUAUUCCAUCUUCUCUCGAAAUCCACCUUCAUCAUCAGUUAAGAAUCGAGGAGUUUGCACAGACCGGGUUGUCGAGAGAGAGAGAGAGAGAGAAUGGCUGAGGACGGAGUCGAGGGGACAACUUUAGAGUUCGCACCGACGUGGGUGGUGGCCGUAGUUUGUUGCAUCGAAGGGGUGAUCUCUUUUCUCGUGAAAGGUCCCUUCAUUGGGCCGGCGAGGCAGCUAAAUGCAUUUUGUUCCUUGACAUCUCCAACGUUGUGUUGUACUCUCUCGGGAAAGACCUUGUUCAUGGUAUAGUAAGUCACUCUGUAGUUUGUCAAAUAUCGCAGACACUACGAGAAACAGCAGAAGCCUCUCCUUGAUGCCUUGCAAAAGAUCAAAGAAGGUGAGAGCAGACAGGAAAAGUAAAGAAAAUGACAUACGUACUUACGCAGCACGAAAUGAUACAUCAAGUUUUCAGAGUUUUGCGCGUGAAUGUAUUGCAGUGGCUUGGAGCUUUGAUGCUGCUUGGUUUCCAUAUCGCUGCUCCUGGUGUUUAUAACAAGAAUUGGGACCUUGCAGAAAGUCGGACUCUUCUUCCAGUGGAACCAACGGAGGAUGACGCGGUCUUCUCGUUGAAGCGUUUCUUGCGACCGAUUAUUGCAGUCAAAUGGUCUCUCGUGCAUCGGAAAAAAUCUAUUUUUACACAGACACAGAACCGAUUGAAAGGUUUUAUGACUUGACUGCAUUCUGUACAUAAAGUUAGGACUUUCGGUGGUGCCAGUAUCUUGAAUUGCUAUGGCCUUUUGUAUCUCUUUUUUCAGGAAUAGGUGCCAUUGUUAUCACUUACAGCACUACAUCAUCUACACAUUUUCAUCUUUGUGCUCGCCGUGGUCCAUGUGAUUGUCUGUGUUUCCACAAUUCUAUGUACACAAACAAAGGUGCGGCAUUACUGUUGCUUAAUUUGGCAAGAUUCGGCCUCCUAAUUUCCCAAAAUUUCUCCCGGAUAAAUACUCCAAUGUCAUACCUUUGACUUCAUGCGCUCUUCGAUACAGCAAUGGAGGCGGUGGGAGGCUGCUGAGAUCUGAAAGGACGAAUAGUACAAGCUUGAAGAUUAUUACUCUUUUUGUAGGUAGGAGAUGAAGAUUGUUUUAUUUCACUGAGUGAAUAUAAACAAAAAUUUGAUUUCCUAUUUUGUUACCUGAAGCCAACAAUGAAACGGCGGAAACCGACCGUGUUCAAGCUGGAAUUCUAGCAAAUUAUUGGUUAGAGACACUGAAGACGCAUAUAUCGGAAUAAAUCUCGCAAUUAUUAGAAGCAUCUGAAGAUGCAAUUCACGAGCAGAGUCAAUUCCAAAACCUGAAUGUACAUCAUGCGCGAAGUUAUGUCUUUGGAGACUUCACCAGUGAUUCAGCAAUGGAAGUUGAAGAAUCCAUAACGACUUGAUCACUAGUAUUUUGUAUGAAGCCCUGUUCUGUUCAAAGUCAAUUAAUUAUUCCAGCGAUUGACUUGUUCUUGGGUACUUCUUGCAGGGUCGAAUACGUAGUUUUGGUUAUCAUUUGUGCCAUUAAUCGGAAGUAGCCAUAAAGAUUCUCAAGCUUUCUUAAGUUUGCAAAAUUUCAAGCAUCAUGUGUUUAUGACAUCUCUGUUGUAUCUUGGAACACUUGAAUCAGUGAGGCGCAGAGCAGACUGCAAGCUGAUUUUUAGCUUCUCAAAUGAUGAUUACACUAUUGUUAGAUAAAUCUAUAAGACAAGAAUGGGACUUGUAAUUGCUAACUCGACAUCGAAUCCGUGAGUUACA